rnacentral:rRNA from 1 species
UACAGAGGUCUCAAGCGUUGUUCGGAUUCAUUGGGCGUAAAGGGUGCGUAGGCGGCGCGGUAAGUCGGGUGUGAAAUCUUGGAGCUUAACUCCGAAACUGCAUUCGAUACUGCCGUGCUUGAGACUGGAGAGGAGACUGGAAUUUACGGUGUAGCGGUGAAAUGCGUAGAUAUCGUAAGGAAGACCAGUGGCGAAGGCGGGUCUCUGGACAGUUCCUGACGCUGAGGCACGAAGGCCAGGGGAGCAAAACGGG